rnacentral:rRNA from 1 species
CUGCUAUCGGGAUAGGACUAAGACAUGCUAGUUGAGCGCUUCCAGCCAACACGGGAGCGCAGCGCACAGCUCAGUAACACGUGGCUAAUCUGCCCUUGGGACCGGAACACCCCCGGGAAACUGGGGCUAAUUCUCGAUAGGUGAAGAACUCUGGAAUGAGUCUCCGCUUAAAAGACGCUUACGUUAUGCUCGUAGGCGCCGCCCAAGGAUGAGACCGCGACCGAUCAGGUUGUUGGUGAGGUAAUGGCUCACCAAGCCUUUUACCGGUGCGGGCCGUGAGAGCGGGAGCCCGGAGAUGGGCACUGAGACAAGGGCCCAGGCCCUACGGGGCGCAGCAGUCGCGAAAACUUUGCAAUACACGAAAGUGUGACAGGGCUAUCCCGAGUGCCAUCCGCUGAGGAAGGCUUUUACCCAGUCUAGAACGCUGGGGGAAUAAGGAGAGGGCAAGUCUGGUGUCAGCCGCCGCGGUAAUACCAGCUCUCCGAGUGGUGUGGAUGUUUAUUGGGCCUAAAGCAUCCGUAGCUGGCUAGGUUAGUCCCCUGUUAAAUCCACCGAAUUAAUCGUUGGAUUGCGGGGGAUACUGCUUGGCUAGGGGACGAGAGAGGCAGACGGUAUUUCCGGGGUAGGGGUGAAAUCCUAUAAUCCCGGGAGGACCACCAGUGGCGAAGGCUGUCUGCUAGAACGCGCCCGACGGUGAGGGAUGAAAGCUGGGGGAGCGAACCGGAUUAGAUACCCGGGUAGUCCCAGCUGUAAACGAUGCAGACUAGGUGUUUGGACGGCCACGUGCCGUUCUAGUGCCGCAGGGAAGCUGUUAAGUCUGCCGCCUGGGGAGUACGAUCGCAAGAUUGAAACUUAAAGGAAUUGGCGGGGGAGCACCACCAGGCGUGAAGCUGCG